rnacentral:rRNA from 1 species
UACGAAGGGGGCUAGCGUUGCUCGGAAUUACUGGGCGUAAAGGGCGCGUAGGCGGACAGUUAAGUCAGGUGUGAAAUCCCAGGGCUCAACCCUGGAAGUGCACUUGAUACUGCAAGUCUUGAGUGUGGUAGAGGCUAUUAGAAUUCUUGGUGUAGUGGUGAAAUACGUAGAUAUCAAGAGGAAUACCGGAGGCGAAGGCGGAUAGCUGGGCCAACACUGACACUGAGACCCGAAAGCGUGGGGAUCAAACAGG